rnacentral:rRNA from 1 species
UACGUAGGGUGCGAGCGUUGUCCGGAAUUAUUGGGCGUAAAGGGCUCGUAGGCGGUUUGUCGCGUCGGGAGUGAAAACUCAGGGCUUAACCCUGAGCCUGCUUCCGAUACGGGCAGACUAGAGGUAUGCAGGGGAGAACGGAAUUCCUGGUGUAGCGGUGAAAUGCGCAGAUAUCAGGAGGAACACCGGUGGCGAAGGCGGUUCUCUGGGAAACAACUGACGCUGAGGAACGAAAGCGUGAGUAGCAAACAGG